GACUCAGUGAAAUUGAACUCGCUGUGAAGAUGCAGUGUACCCGCGGCAAGACGGAAAGACCCCGUGAACCUUUACUAUAGCUUGACACUGAACACUGGUCCUUGAUGUGUAGGAUAGGUGGGAGGCUUUGAAGCGUGGACGCCAGUCUGCGUGGAGCCAACCUUGAAAUACCACCCUUUAAUGGCUGGUGUUCUAACGUAGACCCGUAAUCCGGGUUGCGGACAGUGUCUGGUGGGUAGUUUGACUGGGGCGGUCUCCUCCCAAAGAGUAACGGAGGAGCACGAAGGUUAGCUAAUCCUGGUCGGACAUCAGGAGGUUAGUGCAAUGGCAUAAGCUAGCUUGACUGCGAGAGUGACGGCUCGAGCAGGUGCGAAAGCAGGUCAUAGUGAUCCGGUGGUUCUGAAUGGAAGGGCC
rnacentral:rRNA from 1 species